rnacentral:lncRNA from 1 species
CACCCGAUACCCCUUCGUUAGACGAUUUGGAUGACAUUGCCGUUGUACCCGAAACCCAACCUCAAAGUUCUAAGAAAACAUCUACAAAAAAGCGUUCAACGAGGCCGGAACAAGAAAAUUUAACCACCGGAAGAGGUCAAACUUGGACAUCGAUCGAAGAGUUGGCGUUGGCAAGGGCGUGGACCAAUACGUCUACGUGUCCGAUCGUAGUUAAUAAUCAAAAGUCUGGCAGUUUUUGGAAGGAGGUUUGCAACAAAUUUCAUGCUUUGAUGCAAAAAGAACCAUGA